GAUAGAAGUCUUUGCAAGGAAUGACUCUUUAUGAAACCCUGGAGAGAGUCAUGUUCAGCCCACAUCUGAACAUGAAGGUUCUGUCUGAAUUGUGUGUAGAACGCAGUUUUUGCACACAAUUCGAUAAGCCACGUCUGACUAGUGGUUAAACCUGCCAGUGAGAGCAGACAAAGUGUUGAGGAGUGAUUGAAGCAUAUUUAAAAUGAGUACAGGACAUUAACCUUUCCUUUAUUUAGCUUUUGCCCGGUUCAGUCAUUGAGGUGAAUGAAUAUCAAAUGACAAACGGACGAGCAGAGAAUGCAAAUCAGGAUGCAGGAAAAUGAACCCGAUCAUGGGUGCAGGCCUCUUGUGACUGGUUAUAUGUGGAUGCUUUGCAUGAGAGCACAUGGAUAGGAAAUCACAUGCGUUUUAAUUGUUGUCAUUGCUCGAUGUAUGGUUUCGAAAAUAUUGCAACAACCUUCUUUGGUGAAAGCUAAAUGAGGUGCUCUCGAAUGCAAUUGCCCUAUUUCUUUUUCCCCGUAUGUAUUUUACUGGCAUUUCAGGCAUAAUAUAAAAAUGCUUGUUGCCUACAUAUGUUAGGGAAACUUUGCUGUGUGAAAGCAAUAUCUAGAGAUGUCAUCCCAACAUGACUGGCUUUAUUAAAUCAAGGUUUACUCUGCAGCCCUGGGAAGUCAACACCAGGCAACCCCUCAGAGAGGCCAUGUGGCCGACGUGGAGGCAGGUCAGCAGGGAAGCAAAGGAGCACCAGGUCACAAACACAAGGAGAGACGCGGGGCACUCAACCCCCUAUCCAAGCACAUCACCGUGACCUCCCCAGAAUCCUGACACCCCGGCGGCCAGACGAAUCUAACACCGAGGGGAAGGAAUCCCCGUCCCUGCAGAGAACCCCAAUCUGCCAGGCAAGCAUGAGCUGUCCACAGCAGCUGGAACUCAGAAGGACCAGCAUACGGAGGGCCGUCCUGCUCAGUCGGACAGCUGUAGGAAAGACGAGGGAGCGGCAUCCCCACCAGACCCGAGAGCUCAGCCUCUAUAUCCCAGAACAUCACAGAGAAAGCAUCGGAUCAGAUCGGGUACUGCUACUUUUGGCAUUGUGAGCAGCAUGUGUGGCCUUGCAGCUGAGAUCCUUGGCUCUCUGUGACCCAACUUGGAAACGCUGGAAGGACUGACACUCAGCCAAGGUGUGGGACAGCGAUCAGCAACAGUGUCAACUUGCGUUUGAGCUAAGUGAUGAUGAUAUCCGGCUGUGGCAAAAUGUGCUGUGACUACACUCGUGUCAUCAUCACCGUGGCUUAAUAACAACAAUGAAAAACAAAAACAAAAAAUUACAGUAAGUGUUUGCUGGAGAGUUGAAGGAGUCUUACUCAUCAGAUGAUGCUGACAGAAAUAUUAACUAACACAUAGAACAACCUGCAGAUGGUAACCAAGUAUGACUGCUGCACAAUAUACACACAAGUGAAGAUAUUAUCUAUCAUCUUUUGAUUGCAGGUCUUCAAAACUUUGUUCUACAUUCUGAAAGUAUUCUCUGAGCUUCGAUUUCACAGCAAAAUUUAGAAAUAUUUCUCUUUGUGUGCUUGAGUGGUUUUAGGAAGUGAGCCUUUUCCACACUUCCUGUCUGAUGAAAUAUUCUUUGUGAGAAAGAACGAGCCAAAGGCUAGGUGUAAUAGGAGGGGGAAUAAAAUGUCCCUUACAUGCAAACAAUGGAGUCUUUGGACUGAUCACAUUAGACAAUAUUUGUUGUAUUAAACCUUUGAAACUCUUAUCUUUUCUUGGCAAGACCUGUGAAAGUCAAGUUUGGUUGCUCUACAAAUUCAGCUCACCGGACCGUUGAGCACUUUGAAGUGGUUAUGGUGCAAAUAAUGUUGGGAAGUACACAUCGCUGACGAUGUCAUAUUUCUUCUCCUAUUUCAGACACUCAACACUCUGUGUGCUCACAUCCUGCUGCCUCAGCUCUUUCGCAUUUUCAACUCAUUGACUUUUUUUAUUUCUUAUACAGAAGAUUCAAAUGAUACAGAGGAAUAUCUUUCUGUUUUGAAAAAUGUGCUGAUAAAGUUACUCCGCUGGCACCGGAUUCCCUACGUCAGUUUGAAAUGCAAAACCACCCGGACCGGAUAAACGAUAAUUCAGAUGCUGACUGCAGUUGCUUCUGAUCUGUUUAAUUUAAUUCCCAUUUGAAUUGUGUUUUUGAAUUCAUUACAAUCGCUGUGUAUUUUAGAAAUACGAUAAUGAUUCUUUAGUUUUUUUUACUUUCUUUACCGUCCUUCUCACUUCACUUGAUGGCAAGAUAAACUUCUUUGUCCCUUUGUCUCAUCUUUCUUCCAGUUUUCAGCUUUUCCACAAAUAAUCUUAUUGUAGAUGCAUACAAGUUGAGUUGAGUA